ACCUCGAAGCGGCUCAUGCCACGACAGCGUCAGUUGUUUGCCGGCAUUGCCACCCAGAGUGUUUAGUUACUUUGUGCCUGUUCCCAAUGGCUGCUCGGUGGUUCUGCUGAUAUUACGGGCAUGACAGUGCUUGGCAACGCAGAUGGCGACUUCGUUCACUAUGGAGGCUGAGGUUCUUGGUGGUUGAGGGAUGCUUAGGAAAGCAGAAGACAAAGAAGAAGAUGAUUGUUUGGCCAUAAUCACGUGUGUGUACAAGUUCCAGUUCAGAUUGUAAGAAGAAAAGCCUUUACGAUCGGAUCCUUGCCUUCUUGUGAGAUUGCAUACAACUUAGGAGACUUUGCCGGUUGCGAAUAUCUAGACCUCGAUGAAGUCAAUCCAUCAGUGAUAUCACCAGUGAAAACUCACAUGAUCGGACCUGAAGGCUCGAGUUUUGAAUUUGAAGCCAGUUAAACAUCAGCAUUGUGUUGUUUAAUAUCAAGGAUGGGCAACGAACUCAUGUAUCUACUGCUGGAGCAUGGCUUCCGGAUCGUUCGCCAUCUUACAUUCUUCCCAUACGGCAGGUGGUUUUAUUCGUCAUUCUUUGUUCACUGAAGAUGGACUGAAACUUUGCCUGUCAUGCUCGAACCAUAUAAUCAACAACCACCUUUUUGUUCUCCAGAUCUUGUUCAAGCGUCAACAUGUAGCUGAUGUUAGUACAGUCGUGUGAAAUCAGAUUGAGUAGAGUUUUAAGGUCUUCUAUGUCUCAGUAUUCGCGAGGCACAACACCAUAGACUGUUGGAACCAAAUUUGAUAAGUUCCUGGGUAUACAUUCGUUUGAUAUGCUCGUGGGAGUAACGAGUAAUCAGCCAAGGAUUAUCCUAGAGUAUUUGAAGUGCUAGGUUGUCCACGCGUUGCACGAACUGUAAGUAUAAACAUUUAUCUCACCGCCCUUCAAAUAUCAUGACUUCUCUAUUGGACAUCGAAAUUCUAUUUGACUGAGCUCAAUUUUGCUGCCGCAAUUUCCUUUGUAGCUGGGUUGCGCAACAUCUGGAAUGCACGAUGUCUUGAAAAAGUCGUAGUUGGGGCGUUUCAAAAAUUAACUUAGACUCAUUCAAAACCUUGAGGGAACUCCUUCCACAGCAGCCUAUUUUAGGUCAUUUUAACCUUAGGGUUACUGUAAGAGGCAGUCAUGUUCUCGCUGAUUUGUAGGUGGGGCAUUGAUCAAACUCGCUUUUAAACCCCGCAAGAUAUCAAUCACAUCUUUGAAUAUCGAUUGUGGUUUCAAUUUUUGGAGUAACGUGUUAUUUUUGUCUUUGAGUGAAGAAUUGAAACAAAACAAGGCUAAACGGGACUUGAGCAUCUUAAAUGGUCUGAAGGCUUGUACAUGACAAUAACUUACGAGUUUGAGAUGCAAGCUUGUUUUUGAGUAGCAAGAAUGCUAGAAAAAAUCUUCAAGAAUAAACGUUGGUGUGUUUCACUUGAACAUGGCCUGAAAUGACACGAUUACACAUGAGUUUUGGAAACGUAUCCGUGGGCGUUUUGGAAACGUAUUCUGACUUUCUAAACUCAAAGAUCCUCUCAAAAGCUCCAGGAGCAGAAUUGUGUAGAAUGCGAAGAGACUAGUGAUGAAUAAGCUGAUGGCCCAAGGAUACAAGUGCUAAGAAAUAUUGAACAUGGGCAUAAAUCCUGGUGUAGUCAUUUUAAACUCACUUCGUUAUAAAACAGAAUUUGAGAAGUUGAAUCUGGCACCAAUAGCAGUUGUUAAAAUACAGUU